CACGGGUGGAAGGAAGGAGAGUGGGAGUAUUCGUGCUUCUCAUUCCAAGUCCUUCUGGCUUCUAGAAUUGUAAAGGCCAGCAGUCAGCCCUUUCGGCGCAAAGGGAAGGAAUCUGCGGGAAUUCUUGUGGAAGGAGAGAAGACACUAACGAGGGACAAAUGAACCUAGCAAAGAGAGAAGAAAGGAGACUCUUCCUGCCCUGCACUCCCAGAGACAAGGUGGUGAACAGUACAGCCGUUAGAGAAUGCUAGACCUCCUCCUCCACCUUGAUGGUUGAAGUCGUUUCAGCAGUUCCUCAAGAGCUGCUUUAACCACGAGGAGGCAGAGUGGAACAUUCUUCUCUUUCAUGAUGUCCCAAACAAGUUGCCACAUGGUAGCCCUGGUCUGAAGGAGAUCCAGCAUAUAAGUGAACCCCUGCUUUGGAACGUAUUCUUUGAAGACAUCUCUCGGCAUUGAUAUAAACGUACAGAACGGCAGGCAAGUUGCAGUCCUGCGCAUGCGCAGUAUUGCCCUCCUCGAUGGUGCCUGGGCACACAGCAAUGGCCUGCAACCGUGAUGCUCGAUUUCUGCGGGGGCUGUAUAAACCGCCGUUCUGCUUUCACAUGAAACAGUAACUUGAAAACAACAUCUGAUUCUUGAGAACAUAAAAACAAAACUGCAUGGCUACUUUCAGUGGUGCAAAAGGUUGGACUCCUCCUCCAAGUACCUGACUUUGCUCAUUUGUUUUCUAAAUACUCAGAAAUGUCGCUUUACGUCCCACUGGUUUACCUCUAAGUAGAGACACCCAGAUCAAACACCCAAGGUCCACCAGCAUUUGAAAAAGUGUUUGUCUGGAACUUCCUUUUUUUUUUUUUUUUUUGCCUUUAUGACCUAAAAACUCAUCCCGGCCGCUCCUUGGAUACAUUCAUAGGCUGGUCUUGACCCUCACAGAGAGGGACCACCAGGGGAUGGGAUCAUAUGUGUCCACUGGUUCUCCACACUGGCUAUCAGUUACCUCUCCUUUCCUUAGACAUUUGCCUCCUUCUGACUCCUACCACAUUCAGGGGUUAUUACUUACUAAAUUGAUUUUUUUUUUUACUGAUCCCCAGUAGUUAAAGCCCUAGCAAUGUCUGUUCAUUCCCUUCCGUUUUUAUAUAAUGAUUCCACUGUAGAUAGUAGCAAUUUAAAACAGAAAUAAAACUCACUCCCCUGUUUUCACUGUAAGGUUUGCUGUCAUAUAAUAGAAGCCUGGUGUCCACAUUUUCAUGGAGGCCCUAACUCAUUCCUUGGUUCCAUUCACCUCUCUUAUUUAACUUUCUUUUCUUCCUUUCAUAUCCAACUGACCUAAGAGAGUAGUGAACACCCAGUACCUCUGCUCCUGCACCUUCCAAUACCCCUUUCCUCGCUGCAUUCCUUCUGCCCUGGUAUCUGGCUCCUAUCCACAGCUCUCCACUGUCGUUGUCCUUGGUAAUGUCAUUCUUCAUAAUGUAGAUGAUGAGCCUGGGGAUGUGGUGGUGCACAUCUGUAAUCCCAGCUGCUUAGGAGGCUGAGGUGGGAGGAUGGAAAGUUGGAGGCCAGCCUGGGCAACUUAGUGAGAUCUUGCUUCAAAAUAAAGAAUAAAAAGGACUGGGUAUGGAGCUCAGUGGUAGAGCCCUGGGUUCCACCCUGGGUACCACCAUCAAUCAAUACAAGUUGAUCACUUCUCUCGUACCCCUCCUUUCUUUCUUGAAGGACACCAUUCAGCCUUGAUCCACCUCCCCCUUGUUCAAUGCACCUCCUCCAAUAUUGCUACACAAGUCUCACUGUUAGACUUCACAUAUUUUUACUCUGCUGCUGUCUCCAGGUGAGCUCAUCCUAUUUAGAUCAGGGGCAUCCCUUCUCUUUGUGCACUCCCCAUUUAUGUCAGUACCGUGUACUUAGUCUCAUUGCACCCAUAUAUUGAAACACUUCUCCUGUUUAUCAGGGGAGUGGAAUAUUCCUAGGUCUCUCUCUCUCUCUCUCUCUCUCUCUUUCUCUCUCUCUCUCUCCCCCCCCCACCACUGGAGUGCUUGAGUAGAACCCAGAGGCUCACACAUGCUAGGCAAGCACCCUACCACUGACCUACCCUCCCAGCCCUAGAUAAUGUUACAUAACACAUCCACAGUGUCCAACAGGCAUUUGAUGAAUAGCAACAUUAGGAAAAUUGCUAAAAUCUCUACUCCCAAAGUCUGCUCUAUUUCCUUGUUUCCUUCAUUCAUUCCUCUGGGGUGCAGUUUAGCUGGGGACAGGCCCAGGUAUUUGGCUUAGCAUAGAUCAAAGUGACCUAAUGGGAAAUAGCUUAGCAUAAUUCUCUAACCAAGUCAUAAAAGUACCUAUUGUCCUGUCCAAACACCAAAUUACAUGUGAGGUCAUUCAGAGUCCGGAAGAUGGUUGCUGUGAUAAGGACUGAGACAUUCUUGAUCAAGUGGGAACUGGUAUUUGUGAGCAUAUUCUGCAUUAAUAACUCACCAAAGCCAAGUUCUUAAGUUGAAGUGGCUAACAAGUGUCUUCUAAUGAGCUGAACUCUUCCACUUACAGUGUGGCCACCCUCCUAUCAGUUGACAACCAUCUCCUGUUGACCUUGGGUGGACUGCAAAUGGGCCUUGAAAGAUUUUAGCCAUUAAGUGAGGCUGAUAAAACCUCGUGAAGAUUGGCAAGCUUUAUGUUGGCCCCAAGGUCUCUUAAAGGUCCUUUUUAAUAUCUUUAAAUUUUGAGCUUUAUCAACAUGAUCUUGAGAUCUGUCUAAGGCAUCAUGCCAAACCUAAUGAAGACUUUACUAGGUAUGAUCAACUGAAAGCCCUCAGGACCCCACACAAGGUAUAUUAAAAACACACACACACACAAACAACCAAUAAAUGUGCCAAGGACCUGAACAGACACUUCUCAGAAGAUGAUUUACAAUCAAUCAACAAAUAUAUGAAAAAAUGUUCAUCAUUGCUACCAAUUAGAUGCCGUAGUCCGGCUGCAGCAAAAUAACCGGGGGGUGACGAACAACUUGUGUAGAUUGAUACAGCAGGAGUGGAAGCCGUUUACUGCAGGACAGGAGCGGUAUUUAUACAUUCCACUCAGCUUAUCUAAUUAGCAUAAACUAGAUACAUCAGUCAACCAAUAAGAAAUCUCCACACUUAAUGGCUCGCUGGCGUAACUUCACAAACCACUCCCUCUGGCAAAAUGCCAGGUGCCAUCCAGACUGUUUACAGACUCUAACAUUUGCCAGGUGCCAUCCUGACUUGUUUACAGACUCUAACAAUUAGAGGAAUGCAAAUCAAAACUACUCUAAGAUAUCAUCUCAGUCCAGUCAGAAUGACAGCUAUUAUGAAGACAAACAACAAUAAGUGUUGGUGAGGAUGUGGGGGAAAAGGCACACUUACAUCUGCUGGUGGGACUGCAAAUCGGUGCAGCCAAUAUGGAAAGCAGUAUGGAGAUUUCUUGGAAAAUUGGGAAUGGAACCACCAUUUGACCCAGCUAUCCCUCUCCUAGGUCUAUAUCUAAAGGACUUAAAAACAGCAUACUGCAGGGACACAGCCACAUCAAUGUUUAUAGCAGCACAAUUCAAAAUAGCUAACUGUGGAACCAACCUAGAUGCCCUUCAAUAGAUGAAUGGAUAAAAAAAUGUGACAUAUAUACGCAGUGGAAUAUUACUCAGCAAUAAAAGAGAAUAAAAUCAUGGCAUUUGGAGGUAAAUGGAUGGAGUUAGAGAAGAUAAUGCUAAGUGAAGUUGGCCAAUCCCAAAUAACCAAAUGUUGAUUUUUUUCCUCUGAUAUAAGGAGACUGAUUCAU